ACCAUUUCUAGGCAAGGCAAAAACAACGCCUCCUUUUAUCGAACACAAGUCUCAGUUUUCGAGCACAAACAAAAUAUGACAGAAAACAACACGAAACACAUAACUAUUCAACUGGGAGAGUCAGUACCACUGCUGACUCAAUGUGACAGAUGUUCCACCUUUUUCCAUUGUCCUUUUUGUAGUGGUAAUGGUUUUAAGCCCUCCAAACUGGAAAAAUUAAAAAAAAACAAAAAAUUUGAAGAGUCAUUUCAAGAAGGCAGUUCUCCAUGAAGUAUGUUCUGUGCCUUGUCUUGGAUAUGCCAUUUGACUUCACAGCUGUAAGCUUUCACUUAUGUCUCUGAUUAUUUGUUAAUAUCUGUUACUGGUUUUAAUGUUCUUUGUUUUUACCCUCCCUCUGCAUGUCAGUGUGAUUUACAUGUGAUCAGGAGGUGCUGGCGCUUUAUUCUAUUGGAGAAUUUUUCUGUUGGAAGGUCUCUCUCUCUGUGUGGCUAACGUGUGAAUAUUUCUUACAGGACAAAGACAUUCACUAAAGGGGCACUGGAGAGUGCCCAGAGCAGUGAGGAGGAACCACUAAUAAAAAAGGACCUCCGCACUGCAGUAAAAUGGUUGUGCCAACACAGACAGUUGUUCAGAGGUGCCGUGUCUGAGCCCCAUUUUCUGGAGAUGGAGGAGGAGGACCAAAGCCGAGCUCGAAACUGGAGAUUUAAUUUUGGCAAGAGAACCCUUUUUAUUUAUUUUUCAGUUUAGGGAUGAUAGGGAACUUUUUACUCAGGAAAGUCGGGAUAAAAUAAAACUUAAAAGUAAACUGCAUAUAUAAUUAAUCACUAUAAUUAGUGUCUGUUGCAACAUUGAUUGUUACUUGUAUUUUAUUGUGCAUUAAUGCUCUGUUGAUUUCAGUUUAUAAUCCUUUGAUUUUUCUGUUUUUCUUUGA